rnacentral:rRNA from 1 species
CCUACGGGUGGCAGCAGUGGGGAAUAUUGGACAAUGGGGGAAACCCUUAUCCAGCGACGCCGCGUGCGGGAAGAAGGUUUUCGGAUUGGUAACCUCUGUCAGUCGGGGCGUUAAUGACGGUACCCACGGAGGAAGCCACGGCUAACUACGUGCCAGCAGCCGCGGUAAUACGUAGGUGGCAAGCGUUGUCCGGAAUUACUGGGGGUAAAGGGAGCGUAGGCGGGAUGUCAAGUCAGAAGUGAAAAUUAUGGGCUCAACUCAUAACCUGCCUUUGAAACUGAUAGUCUAGAGUGAAGUAGAGGCAAGCGGAAUUCCUAGUGUAGCGGUGAAAUGCGUAGAUAUCAGGAGGAACACCAGUGGCGAAGGCGGCUUGCUGGGCUUUUACUGACGCUGAGGCUCGAAAGCGUGGGGAGCAAACAGGAUUAGAUACCCGGGUAGUC